ensembl:lncRNA
AUUUUUAUAUUCUUAUAUUCUUAUAUUUUUAUAUUCUUAUAUUUUUAUAUUCUUAUAUUUUUAUAUUCUUAUAUUCUUAUAUUUUUAUAUUCUUAUAUUCUUAUAUUUUUAUAUUCUUAUAUUUUUAUAUUCUUAUAUUUUUAUAUUCUUAUAUUCUUAUAUUUUUAUAUUCUUAUAUUCUUAUAUUUUUAUAUUCUUAUAUUCUUAUAUUCUUAUAUUUUUAUAUUCUUAUAUUUUUAUAUUCUUAUAGUUUAUUUUUAUUUUAUUUAUAACUUAUGUUUUAUGUUGAAUAUUCAUUUUAUACUUGUUUAUGUGGUUAUUAUUUUCUUCUUGUGUGAUCUUAUUUUGUUUUGUUCAAUUUUAUUCAAUUAUAUAUCUAUAUGUACAUGUAUAUGUAUAUAUGUAUUCACAUUUUUGUGUGUAAAUUCAUUUAUGCAGAAUGACAGUUUUAUAUGCUCAUUAAAUAUUAAUUCGGAUGAUAGUGACGUUCUUAAACAAAAUAUAAAAGGAGUCUGCAUAAGAGCACCUUACAUAAAAAAGAUUUUAUCCGAUAACGUAAAAGUUCUUGCAAACUUUUCACAUGAACCAGUCGGAUCAAACAUUAUAGGAGGUGUUGAAGAAGACAAUUGUAUGGGGACUGUUUUUCAUCCAGAGUUAACGCCGUAUUAUUACUUUCACAAUUAUUUUUUAGAGAAGGUUAAAAAAAAUAAAAAAAAAUUAUGAUCAAAUUUAAAUAAUAUUUAAAAAUGAAAAGUGUAUGUAAAGAUAUAUUUUAAGAUAAGUUCACGUACAGAAGCAUUACUUAACGUAGUGGCCAUUUUGAAAUUCAAAAAAUUGAAGAAAAUUGCUUUUUUAUUUUUAUUUAAUUUUAUAUUAAAAUCAUACAAGGAAAUGUAAAAAAAAAAAAUAAAAAAUAAAAUAAAAUAAUAAUUAACA